rnacentral:tRNA from 1 species
GCUCUGGUGGCCUAGUGGAUAAGGCAUUGACCUCCUAAGCCAGAACUUGUGGGUUCGAGUCUCACCUGGGAUA